ensembl:lncRNA
AACACCAUCAGUUGUACUGUUUAUAGAGUGUCCUACAACAAACAGGUGAAAGAGGGUGGGGACUUUUUCCCUUUUGUCCACGAGCGACUGCACAUAAACUUGCGGUUGGUCUAUAAACAGUGCUGUGUAGGCUACAUCGCACAGUGAGCCCACGCUUACAUGUGAUCGUUAUUUACUGCGUAACACUGAAAUUCCAAUUGGUCACUUCCUCUUGCUUCCUGUCUGGUUCCUUGGGGGAUUUUAAACUCCUUGCAACACAAGGGGGCUCAUCGCUUGAAGCUGCAAAACGAAAGUAUGUUGCAGACCAAGACAAGGCAGCUGAAAGCAAGGCAAAGUGUCGUGGCUUAUGGAGCUAAACUCUGAUGUUUAACAAAGCACCGUAAUGAGUGGGAAAGUCUGGAUAUUGAUCACUGCAGUUUCUUUCAUCACCCAUGUUUACCAUGUCCAGUCCAAGUGUAUGGAGCAAGACAUUAAGGCACAUCUGGAUGAGCUGUUGUUGGAAGGUCACAUGUUUCAGAUUAAGGUGUUCUCACCUGAAACGGAGGAACAUGCGCUUCUGUCAGUAAUAAAUACCCUCUGUACAAACUGGAAAAAUAAUAAGGAGAAGGAUAAAUUAACAGUUGUAAAAACCUUUUACAUAAUGCUGUAUAAACUAGAGGAAAAAUUUGAGGAAAAAAACUUUUGUGCAAAUCUCAAUUGCAUGGAUGCUUACACAGUACGUGGCAUUGACACAGCCACUUUUGGAGAAAUGUAUAGAAAAGCUUGCAAUGGAUCUGUAUCAGACCUGAAGUGUCCAUCAAAGAGCACACCUUUAACAACGAUCAGCCCAACUCCUGAAUUCAGCAUAACAUCUUUAACAACAUUGGUCAGCCCAAACAUCACUGCUCCUGAAAAUUUGACAGCAGAUCCAUCGGCGCGUACAGAAACCUUCAGUAAGUUUGUCUCUUGUGAGAGCAGCUUCAUCUGUGAUGAGCAGCAUAAUACCUUCAGCAUACACUCAGUAGUCACUUUCAGUGGCCAUCUGACAUAUUGUGCAUUCAGAAAGGUUCAGCAGCAGCGCAGUGCCUUUAUUUCAGUCAUCAUCCCAUCUAGCCAAUCUCUGCUGACCCUUUCAGACCCAUACAGAUAUGCUGCCCUUUUCCCUUUUUUGUUGUUGUUACUAUUUGCACAGUUCUCAUCUUUUUAUGAAAUACUAAUUCAGACAAUCAUUAAAUAAUUAAACUCAACAUUUGUUUGUCAUUUUGAAGUCCAUGUAUACAAACUUAUACGUACUGACUUGCUGAUGAUUAGCUGAUUAGAUAUACCAUGUUGCACCUAAUGAAGUCACCACAACUUGUGCAUUGUCACAAAUGACUAAUUUUACUAAAAUAGCCAUUUACUAAUUAAUUAAUAAUUUUGUGCAUAACUACUAAUUGUUUUGUUAAAUAAAAAAUGAAUAUUCUUUUUGAAUAUUAUUUCU